rnacentral:rRNA from 1 species
ACCUGGUUGAUCCUGCCAGUAGUUAUAUGCUUGUCUCAAAGGUUAAGCCAUGCAUGUCUCAGUAUGAGUGCUUCUACGGCGAAACUGCGAAUGGCUCAUUAAAUCAGUUACGGUUUAUUUGAUGACUUGUGACACGGAUAACUGGGGAAAUUCUUCAGCCAAUACGUGCUUCUAAGCCGACUUUGUGGAAGGUGAGUAUUUGCUCGAUUCUGAACCAACCCAGAUCUUCUGGGCUUUAAGUUGAGCGGAGAGUAAAUCUGUCCAAUCGCAUUGCACCGCGAUGCGAUGCAUCAUUCAAGUUUCUGACCUAUCAGCUUCCGAUUGUAGGGUAUUGGCUUACCAUGGCGAUGACGGGUAACAGCGAAUUUGGGUUCAGUUCUGGAGAGGGAGCCUGAGAAACGGCUACCACAUCUAAGGAAGGCAGCAGGCGCGUAACUUACCCAAUUCUGACACGGAGAGGUAGUGACAAGAAAUAACGAUACAGGGCAUUCAUGUCUUGUACUUGGGCUGAGUAGAAUGUAAACGACUCUAUGAGUAUCAAUUGGAGGGCAAGUCUGGUGCCAGCAGCCGCGGUAACUCCAGCUCCAAUAGCGUAUAUUGAAGUUGUUGCGGUUAAAAAGCUCGUCGUUGGAUUUCUGUUGAGGUCGAACAGUGCCGCCCUAUGGGUGCGCAACUGGCUCGGCUUCGGCAUCUUCUUGGAGAGCGCAUCUGCACUUAACUGUGUGGAUCGUACUUCAAGUCAGUUACUUUGAGGAAUUGUGAGUGUUUCAAGCAAGCUUACGCCGUUGAAUCCGUUAGCAUGGAAUAAUAGAAUAGGACCUCGGUUCUAUUUUGUUGGUUUUGAGAGCUGGGGCAGCGAUUGAUAGGGACGGAUGGGGGCGUCCGACUUUACUGUCAGAGGUGAAAUUCUUAGAUCGGUCAAAGGCGAACUACUGCGAACGCAUUCCGCCAAGAAUGUUUUCUUUAAUCAAGAACGAAAGUWAGGGGAUCGAAGACGAUCAGAUAACCGUCCUAGUCUUAACCAUAAACGUUACUGACUAGAAAUUGGAGGUUGUGAUUCACAAACAAGUCUUUGAGUUCUGGGGGGAGUAUGGUCGCAAGACUGAAACUUAAAGGAAUUGACGGAAGGGCACCACCAGGAGUGGAACCUGCGGCUUAAUUUGACUCAACACGGGGAAACUUACCAGAUCAAGACAUAGUAAGGAUUGACAGAUUGAGAGUUCUCUCUCGAUUCUAUGGGUGGUGGUGCAUGGCCGUUCUUAGUUGGUGGAGUGAUUUGUCUGGUUAAUUUCGUUAACGAACGAGACCUUAACUUGUUGAAUAGUGAAUCGUAACCUCGGUUACGUUGGAAUCUUCUUAGAGGGACUUUGUGUGAUCAACGCAAGGAAGUUUGAGGCGAUAACAGGUCUGUGAUGCCCUUAGAUGUUCUGGGAUGCACGCGCGUUACACUGAUUCGUUCAACGAGUUUAUGACCUUGCCUGAUGAGGUGGGGGAAUCUUUUCAAAUCGCAUCGUGAUGGGGAUAGAGUAUUGUAACUGUUAGUCUUCAACGAGGAAUUCCUAGUAAGUACGUGUCAUCAGCUCGUACUGAUUAUGUCCCUGCCCUUUGUACACACCGCCCGUCGCUCCUACCGAUUGAGUGCUCAGGUGAAUAGUAUGGACUGCAUCAGUGUUCGGUCUCCGAAUGUUGAAGCGAGAAAUUCUGUGAAUCUUAUUGCUUAGAGGAAGGAGAAGUCGUAACAAACAAGGUUUCCGUAGGUGAACCUGCAGAAGGAUCA